AACUGGGAUUAGAUACCCCACUAUGCUUGAUCGUAAAAUUUAACCCACACCCAUAAACGCCAGGGUACUACGAGCCUUAGCUUAAAACCCAAAGGACUUGACGGUGUCCCACCCAACUAGAGGAGCCUGUUCUAUAAUCGAUGAUCCACGAUACACCAAACCAUUUCUUGCCAUUCAGCCUGUAUACCUCCGUCGCAAGCUUACCGUAUGAACGAAUAUUAGUAGGCCAAAGGACUUUAACGCCACAACGUCAGGUCAAGGUGCAGCUAAUGAAAUGGAGGUAAUGGGCUACAAUUUCUAAAUUAGAACAAACGAAACACUACAUGAAACAUAGUCAUGAAGGCGGAUUUAGCAGUAAGUAGGAAAUAGAGAGUCCUACUAAACAUGGCCCUGGGACGUGUACACACCGCCCGUCACCCUCUGCAGUCAA
rnacentral:rRNA from 1 species